rnacentral:rRNA from 1 species
AUAGAACGCUGGCGGCAGGCUUAACACAUGCAAGUCGAGCGGGGUGAUGGUGCUUGCACUAUCACUUAGCGGCGGACGGGUGAGUAAUGCUUAGGAAUCUGCCUAAUAGUGGGGGACAACAUCUCGAAAGGGAUGCUAAUACCGCAUACGUACUACGGGAGAAAGCAGGGGAUCACUUGUGACCUUGCGCUAAUAGAUGAGCCUAAGUCGGAUUAGCUAGUUGGUGGGGUAAAGGCCUACCAAGGCGACGAUCUGUAGCGGGUCUGAGAGGAUGAUCCGCCACACUGGGACUGAGACACGGCCCAGACUCCUACGGGAGGCAGCAGUGGGGAAUAUUGGACAAUGGGGGGAACCCUGAUCCAGCCAUGCCGCGUGUGUGAAGAAGGCCUUAUGGUUGUAAAGCACUUUAAGCGAGGAGGAGGCUCUUUUGGUUAAUACCCAAGAUGAGUGGACGUUACUCGCAGAAUAAGCACCGGCUAACUCUGUGCCAGCAGCCGCAGUAA